UACGUAGGGGGCAAGCGUUGUCCGGAAUCAUUGGGCGUAAAGAGCGUGUAGGCGGUUCGGUAAGUCCGCUGUAAAAGUCCAGGGCUCAACCCUGGAAAGCCGGUGGAAACUGUCGAACUAGAGUCCGGAAGAGGCGAGUGGAAUUCCUGGUGUAGCGGUGAAAUGCGCAGAUAUCAGGAGGAACACCGAUGGCGAAGGCAGGUCUCUGGGCAUUAACUGACGCUGAGGAGCGAAAGCAUGGGGAGCGAACAGG
rnacentral:rRNA from 1 species